rnacentral:rRNA from 1 species
AUUGAACGCUGGCGGCAUGCCUAACACAUGCAAGUCGAACGAGUGGCGGACGGGUGGUUAAGGCUUGGGCCUCUUGGCUCUGGCGGGGGAUAACUACGGGAAACUGUAGCCACUACCGCCUUGCAUAGGAUGAGCCCAAGUGGGAUUAGGUAGUUGGUGGGGUAAAGGCUCACCAAGACGACGAUCUCUAGCUGGUCUGAGAGGAUGACCAGCCACACUGGGACUGAGACACGGCCCAGACUCCUACGGGAGGCAGCAGUGGGGAAUAUUGGACAAUGGGGGAAACCUGACGCAGCCAGGCCGCGUGAAUGAUGAAGGCCUUCGGGUUGUAAAGUUCUUUCGGUAGCGAGGCGUUAACUACAGAAUAAGCACCGGCUAACUCCGUGCCAGCAGCCGCGGUAAUUC